rnacentral:rRNA from 1 species
UCCUGACUGACCGAUAGUGAACCAGUACCGUGAGGGAAAGGCGAAAAGAACCCCGGCGAGGGGAGUGAAAAAGAACCUGAAACCGUGUACGUACAAGCAGUGGGAGCACGCUUAGGCGUGUGACUGCGUACCUUUUGUAUAAUGGGUCAGCGACUUAUAUUCUGUAGCAAGGUUAACCGAAUAGGGGAGCCGAAGGGAAACCGAGUCUUAACUGGGCGUUAAGUUGCAGGGUAUAGACCCGAAACCCGGUGAUCUAGCCAUGGGCAGGUUGAAGGUUGGGUAACACUAACUGGAGGACCGAACCGACUAAUGUUGAAAAAUUAGCGGAUGACUUGUGGCUGGGGGUGAAAGGCCAAUCAAACCGGGAGAUAGCUGGUUCUCCCCGAAAGCUAUUUAGGUAGCGCCUCGUGAAUUCAUCUCCGGGGGUAGAGCACUGUUUCGGCAAGGGGGUCAUCCCGACUUACCGACCCGAUGCAAACUGCGAAUAUCGGAGAAUGUUAUCACGGGAGACACACGGCGGGUGCUAACGUCCGUCGUGAAGAGG